UUUCACGCAAUGGAAUGGUAUAUAUGAGCUCAUCAGGUCUAAAUUGGGAACCAGUGCUCAAUGCGUGGCUUAAGACUCGAUCACCGAGAGAGUUAGAAGUUUUCAGUACUUUGUUUGAACAAACAUUUCCGACGACUUACACCUGGUGUACCCAGAAUUUGACGUUUAGUAUGCGCGUUCUUCAAAGCAACAUUGUGUAUCAAAUGCUAAAUUUACUCGAAGGCUUAGUUCCACCAC
rnacentral:misc_RNA from 1 species